UAAUUGAAUAUAUAUGUUACUAAUAAGUAUCCAUUCCAUUCUUGGGAAAUCACUAACACCUGUAGUAUUCAGUCUUUCCCCAUGUGCUUCUGCUGUCAUUGGUCAAUUCAAGUGAUCAGCACCUGAUUUCAAUAUUUGAGCAAAAGGCAUCAUUAAAGCACCUUAUUUCAGUCAGUCUGCUGUGUUGGGAGCAAACUGGACUGACCUCUCAGUGGGGGACCUAUUUCACAGCUGGAAGUCAAAACCAGUGAAAUUUGCCUGGAAUCAUUUCACAGUACCACAGUAUCAUUGGAUUAGCAGAGUGCAGUGGAGCUUUUGACUCAAACUUAAAAAGUUAUUUUGAUGAAACAGCAGCAAAGGUGGCAAGACCAGUGACAACAAAAACCAGAGGUCCCCUAGUCCUCACUAAGGGGACUGACUGCCCAACAGGCUCGGACAGGAAGACAAGACGCAGGUGUCACGUCUGCCAUCGACCGGUGCGCCCUCUCCACUACUGCCCUGCAUGUACUGACUGUAUGAAAGGCAUAAGUUGUCAGUGAUGCAGGGAUGCUGUGCCUUCACCUCACAAGGCUCACAUAUCCCAGGAAGGGGUAGACCAAAUAACAAGUUCCCAGCUCCAUCAUUUUUUUUUGGUGGGGGUAUUUUUGGUUAAC